UUUGAAUAAUUCUUGCAAAAAAAGAAAUUUUGAAGAAUUUUCGGCAUAUGAAGAGAAAUUAGAAGCAUCUAAAGAAACGUGGGAAUUAGUGGAUUCAGCAGCGGAGGGAUUUCGAACUUCAGUAUCAUACAGACUAGGAUGCUUUGCAAUGUUAUGAGCAGAUUGAAUAAAAAGACGUAUUUUUUCUUGGAUUCUUGAAUCGCUAGGACCAGUACAAAAAUGGUCAAUACAAAAGGCAAAGUAUUGAACCAACCGAUGCAUCAUUUUCCUUUGAAGCGCAGACAUUGGAAGGCCAAUAUCUAGCACGCUGAACGAGGAUUUAGAAGAUUUAGUAAUAGAUUCUUCCGAAGAAUCAAAGGCAGUGUCAUUUUGCAAAGGAAUAGGAAAUAACUGCUGGGUAGAAGGGAAUUCAUCGACCU